rnacentral:rRNA from 1 species
AGAUUGAACGCUGGCGGCGUGCUUAACACAUGCAAGUCGAGCGGUAACGCGGGAGCAAUCCUGGCGACGAGCGGCGAACGGGUGAGUAAUGCUUGGGAAUCUGCCCAUUAGUGGGGAACAACCAGCCGAAAGGUUGGCUAAUACCGCAUACGCCCUACGGGGGAAAGCGGGGGAUCGAAAGACCUCGCGCUAAUGGAUGAGCCCAAGUCGGAUUAGCUUGUUGGUGGGGUAACGGCCUACCAAGGCGACAAUCCGUAGCUGGUCUGAGAGGACGACCAGCCACACUGGGACUGAGACACGGCCCAGACUCCUACGGGAGGCAGCAGUGGGGGAAUAUUGGACAAUGGGGGCAACCCUGAUCCAGCGACGCCGCGUGUGAAGAAGGCCUGCGGGUUGUAAAGCACUUUUAGUGGGGAUGAAAAGCUCAGGGUUAACACCUCUGGGUCUUGACCUAACCCACAGAAAAGCACCGGCUAACUCUGCGCCAGCAGCCGCGGU